rnacentral:rRNA from 1 species
GACGAACGCUGGCGGCGUGCCUAACACAUGCAAGUCGAGCGAAAAGAUCAGGAGCUUGCGCCUCUGACGUUAGCGGCGGACGGGUGAGUAACACGUGGACAACCUAACUAUAAGACUGGGAUAACUUCGGGAAACAGGAGCUAAUACCGGAUAAUAUAUUGAACCGGAUGGUUCAAUAGUGAAAGACGGUUUUGCGGUCAGUUAUAGAUGGAUCCGCGCCGCAUUAGCUAGUUGGUAAGGUCAUGGCUUAGCAAGGCAGCGAUGCGUAGCCGACCUGAGAGCGUGGUCGGCCACCCGGGAAGUGAGAAUCGGUCCAGACUCUUGCGGUAGGACACAGUAGGGAAUCUUCCGCGAUGGGGGAGAGGCUGACAUAGGAACACGGCGGGAGUGAUGAUGGUGCUCGGAUCGGAAAGCUCUGUUAUUAGUGGGGAACAAAUGUGUAAGUACCUGUGCAGAUAUUGACGGUACCGGAAGAAAAAGCCCCGGCUAACUACGUG